GCAAGUCGAACGGUAACAGGGAAAAGCUUGCUUUUCCGCUGACGAGUGGCGCACGGGUGCGCAACGCGUAUAGAACCUACCCUGUACAGGGGGAUAGCCCGGAGAAAUCCGGAUUAAUACCCCGUAGUAAUUAGAAUUGGCAUCGAUUUUAAUUUAAAGCUUCGGCGGUACAGGAUGGCUAUGCGUCCUAUUAGCCAGAUGGUGAGGUAACGGCUCACCAUAGCUAUGAUAGGUAGGGGCCCUGAGAGGGGGAUCCCCCACACUGGUACUGAGACACGGACCAGACUCCUACGGGAGGCAGCAGUGAGGAAUAUUGGACAAUGGGCUCACGCCUGAUCCAGCCAUGCCGCGUGCAGGAAGACAGCCCUAUGGGUUGUAAACUGCUUUUAUACGGGAAGAAUAAGGGGCACGUGUGCCCUGGUGACGGUACCGUAAGAA
rnacentral:rRNA from 1 species